GACGAACGCUGGCGGCGUGCUUAACACAUGCAAGUCGAACGGAAAGGCCCUGCUUUUGUGGGGUGCUCGAGUGGCGAACGGGUGAGUAACACGUGAGUAACCUGCCCUUGACUUUGGGAUAACUUCAGGAAACUGGGGCGAAUACCGGAUAGGAGCUCCUGCUGCAUGGGGGGGGUUGGAAAGUUUCGGCGGUUGGGGAUGGACUCGCGGCUUAUCAGCUUGUUGGUGGGGUAGUGGAUUACCAAGGGUUUGACGGGUAGCCGGCCUGGGAGGGUGACCGGCCACCUUGGGACUGAGGUACGGCCCAGACUCCUACGGGCGGCAGCAGUGGGGAAUAUUGCACAAUGGGCCGAAGCCUGAUGCAGCAACGCCGCGUGCGGGAUGACGGCCUUCGGGUUGUAAACCGCUUUCGCCUGUGCCGAAGCGUGAGUGACGGUAAUGGGUAAAGAAGCACCGGCUAACUACGUG
rnacentral:rRNA from 1 species